AACAGGAAGGUGACGGUGAGUCAGAGCUGGCCCUGGCUCUGAUCCUGAAGCUUUUCAGUGCUUCACCAACACGGCCAUGGUUCCUGUAAGAAACUAUAAAGUCCUUCAAGUGGAACACAACCUCUUCCUGAGAGAAAACUCCACUUCACAGGUCUCUAAGUGGAACUGUGAUACAACGGAGCCCAACCCUGAUCCUCUGAACUUUUCCACUCCAAAUAUCUCUGGAAUCAUACAAGUGGAAAAUAUUGGUGCGACCUGCUCUGACGUAAGGUAUGGAGACCGUACAUCAUACAUUUUGCCCUAGAAGACAAGAGGCUCGGCUGGAGGUGUAAGACGGUGCGAAUAUGUUGAGGUUUCAUUGGGAGUAACCCAGAUGGACAGCUUAGAUUGAACAGAUUAGAGAUAAGGACAUUGUUUAGAUGGUUUGGACAUGAGGACAAAGGAUGUUACAGAUGGAGCUGCCAAAGCAGGGGGAGAAGACGCUGAUCUACUGGGAAGAUACAUGGGCGUACUGAGGGAGGACAAGAGGACAGUUGAUAAGACUGGGUGUCAAACGGACGUAGAUGAUUCACUAUCACAAGCUCCACAAGGUUUUCCACAUAUCUGCAGGAAUCGCAGCCUUAAUUCCAUGCUGAGAAAACUCUGAUUGGAUAAUGGGUGUACCACAAGGCCAGUGGGAAUGCUUUAAGCUGGUUGCUAUGGUCGCCACCCUCUCCUGUCGACGCCGAAGAAAUAAUACUCGCCGUCCAGAAAGGCAGACUACGUUCAGGAGCACCAGCAGCUGGUUGUACACUUAAACCUGAAAACCUACAGAAGAAAGCUAAAUAUAAACAUAAAAAAAUAAACAUAAAAAAAUGAUUCCAUUACAUUUGAGAGUGUAUUAGUAAUAAAGUUGGCACCAGUGGUUCAGUGGUUUGCACCCUGUCUGUAUGGAACGUUUCCUCUGCCCCAUGACAGUUUCUACACAACAUUCUACCCACAGCCUGAGGACUAGUACAAGUGCUCAAUGGUAACGGUAUUAGCUAAAUGCAUGUGGGUGUAAAUGUGUCUCUCACACUCACAUGGGACAACCAACACUUUCCAGCUGCACUUGUGGGAUGCUGAGGUUUUCCCAGAAGCGAUGAGAUUAAUAAUCAUUGCAGCAUGUUUUGGGUCCAUUAUGGUGUCGAGCCAUAGGCCCUCGUAUCACGGACCCUAACUCCUUUGACAUCAAACAGUGACGUACAACUCCAUCGCACUAAAACGGAGAUACUUAGGCCACAAAAGAGAAAAUCUAAAAACGUGGAACACGACUAUUGAAAGAUCACCUUUAUAAAAUUAACCAUGCUCUUGCUACCUUUUCGGGAGACAUCUGGCCUAGAUAACAACUAGGUAACUAGGUAGGUAACAACUAACUUCUAAACCAAACCUCCACCAGUGUAGAGGUGUCUUAAGAAUAUCAUUAAAACACAAGGUGAGUGUCCACAAACCAUUGAGCUGCUCAUAAUAUUUCUAGAAUAUAGAAUAUCUUUACAAAGGAUAUGUUUCACUGUAGAUAUUUCUAUACAAAGACGGGUCCCUUAGAUGCAUGGGUCCCAAAAAACGUCCCUUAAAGGAUGAUGUGGCCACAGUGUCACAAGUGUCCUCCUGAUUUUUGUCCUCCUGUCACGCCAAAGACAUCAGCAACUUUUUAAGCAACUUCUCAAGAUACGAAAUCCGCUAUUUAUACUGUUUCCAUUCUGAUGACAAAGGGCUAAAGUCGACAGUAGCUCUCAACCACACACGUGCAGUACGUACAGCUACGCAUGUAGAUACACCCCUACACAUACACAGCUGGUGUUCUGCAUUUCUAGACAUGUACAGGUCAAAGGUCAGCCUACAUUAACGCAGUUACCAUCAUAAGAACGUACUAACACA